CUCAAUGAGUCUGAGUAAACUGGGAGUUGGCGAUGGACAGGGAAGCCUGGUGUGCUGCCGUCCAUGAGGGUCACAAAGAGUCGGACACGACUGAGCAACUGAACUGAACCAGAGCCUGUCAGUUAUCUUGCAAGUAGACUGGAGUGGUGGAAGGAAGAAAAGAAAGUUAAUGGCUUUGGGUACUUAGCCUUGGCUUGAAAAAACCUCCAGCAAGCCUCUCCUAUCUAAAAACAUGUCCAAACAGUGAACAGAGCCCUUACGGAGCUGGAAAAUUCAAAUGCAAGGAAGAAAUGAUGAGGAAAAUUUGCUUGUUGCUUAUUAUAUGUAUUACUUAAUUGUCAUAUAAAAAUGUGCUAUAUAUUUGUAAUUACAUUAAAACCAAGCCACCAAAAACAA